CGGGGUGUGGCGCAGAUGGAAGCGCAACGGACUUUUAAUCCGUGGGUCGUGAGUUCGAGUCUCACCGCUCCGA
rnacentral:tRNA from 1 species